GGCUACAUGGUCUAGUAGUAUGAUACUCCCUUCGGGAUUUCCCGACUUCUUACAGAGGUUAUGAUUGGGAGUGGUCCCGGGUUCAAUUCCCGGUGUGGCCC